GGGUUGUGAGGUUAAGCGACCAAGCGUACACGGUGGAUGCCCUGGCAGUCAGAGGCGAUGAAGGACGUGCUAAUCUGCGAAAAGCGCCGGUAAGGUGAUAUGAACCGUUAUAACCGGCGAUGUCCGAAUGGGGAAACCCAGUGUGACUCGUCACACUAUCAUUAACUGAAUCCAUAGGUUAAUGAGGCGAACCGGGGGAACUGAAACAUCUAAGUACCCCGAGGAAAAGAAAUCAACCGAGAUUCCCCCAGUAGCGGCGAGCGAACGGGGAGGAGCCCAGAGCCUGAAUCAGCAUGUGUGUUAGUGGAAGCGUCUGGAAAGGCGCGCGAUACAGGGUGACAGCCCCGUACACAAAAGCGCAUGUGCUGUGAGCUCGAUGAGUAGGGCGGGACACGUGGUAUCCUGUCUGAAUAUGGGGGGACCAUCCUCCAAGGCUAAAUACUCCUGACUGACCGAUAGUGAACCAGUACCGUGAGGGAAAGGCGAAAAGAACCCCGGCGAGGGGAGUGAAAAAGAACCUGAAACCGUGUACGUACAAGCAGUGGGAGCCUCUCUUUAUGGGGGGUGACUGCGUACCUUUUGUAUAAUGGGUCAGCGACUUAUAUUCUGUAGCAAGGUUAACCGUAUAGGGGAGCCGCAGGGAAACCGAGUCUUAAUUGGGCGUUAAGUUGCAGGGUAUAGACCCGAAACCCGGUGAUCUAGCCAUGGGCAGGUUGAAGGUUGGGUAACACUAACUGGAGGACCGAACCGACUAAUGUUGAAAAAUUAGCGGAUGACCUGUGGCUGGGGGUGAAAGGCCAAUCAAACCGGGAGAUAGCUGGUUCUCCCCGAAAGCUAUUUAGGUAGCGCCUCGUGAACUCAUCUCCGGGGGUAGAGCACUGUUUCGGCCAGGGGGCCAUCCCGGCUUACCAACCCGAUGCAAACUGCGAAUACCGGAGAAUGUUAUCACGGGAGACACACGGCGGGUGCUAACGUCCGUCGUGAAGAGGGAAACAACCCAGACCGCCAGCUAAGGUCCCAAAGUCAUGGUUAAGUGGGAAACGAUGUGGGAAGGCCCAGACAGCCAGGAUGUUGGCUUAGAAGCAGCCAUCAUUUAAAGAAAGCGUAAUAGCUCACUGGUCGAGUCGGCCUGCGCGGAAGAUGUAACGGGGCUAAACCAUGCACCGAAGCUGCGGCAGCGAACGUAUCACUUAAAGCGAUUCAGCGGAUGACGAUUGACGGAGCGAAGCGACGUCAAAGCGUUUUACAACGUCGAGUCGGUUUAAGGAUACGUUCGUUGGGUAGGGGAGCGUUCUGUAAGCCUGCGAAGGUGUGUCGUGAGGCAUGCUGGAGGUAUCAGAAGUGCGAAUGCUGACAUAAGUAACGAUAAUGCGGGUGAAAAACCCGCACGCCGGAAGACCAAGGGUUCCUGUCCAACGUUAAUCGGGGCAGGGUGAGUCGACCCCUAAGGCGAGGCCGAAAGGCGUAGUCGAUGGGAAACAGGUUAAUAUUCCUGUACCUGGUGUUACUGCGAAGGGGGGACGGAGAAGGCUAUGUUGGCCGGGCGACGGUUGUCCCGGUUUAAGCGUGUAGGUGUGUGUUCCAGGAAAAUCCGGUUCACUUUAACACUGAGGCGUGACGACGAGGCACUACGGUGCUGAAGCAACAAAUGCCCUGCUUCCAGGAAAAGCCUCUAAGCCUCAGGUAACAUCAGAUCGUACCCGAAACCGACACAGGUGGUCAGGUAGAGAAUACCAAGGCGCUUGAGAGAACCCGGGUGAAGGAACUAGGCAAAAUGGUGCCGUAACUUCGGGAGAAGGCACGCUGACACGUAGGUGAAGCGGUUUACCCGUGGAGCUGAAGUCAGUCGAAGAUACCAGCUGGCUGCAACUGUUUAUUAAAAACACAGCACUGUGCAAACACGAAAGUGGACGUAUACGGUGUGACGCCUGCCCGGUGCCGGAAGGUUAAUUGAUGGGGUCAGCGCAAGCGAAGCUCCUGAUCGAAGCCCCGGUAAACGGCGGCCGUAACUAUAACGGUCCUAAGGUAGCGAAAUUCCUUGUCGGGUAAGUUCCGACCUGCACGAAUGGCGUAAUGAUGGCCAGGCUGUCUCCACCCGGGACUCAGUGAAAUUGAACUCGCUGUGAAGAUGCAGUGUACCCGCGGCAAGACGGAAAGACCCCGUGAACCUUUACU
rnacentral:rRNA from 1 species